UAGAAAGUUUUUAUUAUUUUUUUCAGGAAGUAGAGAGGAAGGAAAAGGACAAGGGACAAUGCUAUAAAAUCCAGAACCAGGGAAAACUUGGAGCCUAUGUCAGGACAAGAUUAAAAGGUGAAGGGGUGGCCAAGGGGGACUUCAUGGGGAGAACUGAGAUGUUUAAUGGGAAUAUCUAUUAAGUUUGUCAUGUGGGACUUAUUUAUAACCCUUUCAUGUAUCAUUCCAUGAAAUCUACAGUAAAACCUAUGCUUCUUGCCCAUGUUGGGCAGUUAAAUUUGUUCUUGUUGAGUCAGAAGUGUUGCAUCUGUGAGCCUAGGGUCACAUUGCUUAGAUAUCAGCAACUGCUCCCCUGGCUGAAGAUAUGCAUUGUUUCUAAAAAGCAGAAUGAAGAAACAAACACCUGGAAACCGUCAUCAUUGGGCCCAGAACAACACAGCUCAGCUCUGAAAGAUGAAAAUAGAGUUUCAUCUGGCAAGGUAAUUGCCUACAAGAUCUACCUCUGGAAAUAA
rnacentral:lncRNA from 1 species